UACGUAGGGGGCAAGCGUUACCCGGAUUCACUGGGCGUAAAGCGGGUGUAGGCGGCUCGGUAAGUCGGGGGUGAAAUCCCACGGCUCAACCGUGGAAUUGCGCCCGAAACUGCUGAGCUUGGGGCCGGUAGAGGGAGACGGAACUGCCGGUGUAGGGGUGAAAUCCGUAGAUAUCGGCAGGAACGCCGGGGGGGAAGCCGGUCUCCUGGGCCGCGCCCGACGCUGAGGCCCGAAAGCUAGGGGAGCAAACCGG
rnacentral:rRNA from 1 species